GAUGAACGCUAGCUACAGGCUUAACACAUGCAAGUCGAGGGGAAACGCCAUCGAAAGCUUGCUUUUGAUGGGCGUCGACCGGCGCACGGGUGAGUAACGCGUAUCCAACCUGCCCAUCACUUGGGAAUAACCUUGCGAAAGUAAGACUAAUACCCAAUGAUAUCCCACGAAGGCAUCGGAAUGGGAUUAAAGAUUUAUCGGUGAUGGAUGGGGAUGCGUCUGAUUAGCUUGUUGGCGGGGUAACGGCCCACCAAGGCAACGAUCAGUAGGGGUUCUGAGAGGAAGGUCCCCCACAUUGGAACUGAGACACGGUCCAAACUCCUACGGGAGGCAGCAGUGAGGAAUAUUGGUCAAUGGGCGAGAGCCUGAACCAGCCAAGUAGCGUGCAGGAAGACGGCCCUAUGGGUUGUAAACUGCUUUUAUAAGGGAAUAAAGUGGGUCACGUGUGACUUUUUGCAUGUACCUUAUGAAUAAGGACCGGCUAAUUCCGU
rnacentral:rRNA from 1 species